GAGGAGGUCCAGCAGGGUGCUGCUGGACAGCUAACCUCUUUGAUUUUGCCUCUUGCAGGUACUACUGGAGGACAUGACAUUCAGGUGGAGCACCUACCUAAGGUGUCUCCACAGGUGGAGAGGACUCAGAUGGAUGAUCGAGGUGGAGAGGUCCAGUAGGAGCGAGCUGGAUCGAGGACUGAUAUCGGUGUUGCCCUACAUAAGCCCAAAAGGACCAUCAGGCAACCGAACCGAUAUGGCUUCGAGGAGAUGCUGUCAUAUGCCCUGGUGACAGUGAAUGG
rnacentral:lncRNA from 1 species